AUUGAACGCUGGCGGCAUGCUUUACACAUGCAAGUCGAACGGUAACAGGUUAAGCUGACGAGUGGCGAACGGGUGAGUAAUGCAUCGGAACGUGCCCGGUCGUGGGGGAUAACACUUCGAAAGAAGUGCUAAUACCGCAUACGAUCUGAGGAUGAAAGCGGGGGACCGUAAGGCCUCGCGCGAUCGGAGCGGCCGAUGUCAGAUUAGGUAGUUGGUGGGGUAAAGGCUCACCAAGCCGACGAUCUGUAGCUGGUCUGAGAGGACGACCAGCCUCACUGGGACUGAGACACGGCCCAGACUCCUACGGGAAGCAGCAGUGGGGAAUUUUGGACAAUGGGCGCAAGCCUGAUCCAGCAAUGCCGCGUGCAGGAAGAAGGCCUUCGGGUUGUAAACUGCUUUUGUACGGAGCGAAAAGGCUCUCUCUAAUACAGGGGGCUCAUGACGGUACCGUAAGAAUAAGCACCGGCUAACUACGUGCCAGCCGCCGCGGUAACAC
rnacentral:rRNA from 1 species